GAAAACUUGGAAACUACCGUUGGAUCGAGAAAUGGACGUCCGAGAUUCGUCCACGUCAUCAUGAGUUAAAAUUUAACUCCUAGUAAAAUUUUAACUCAUGAGUGAAUCUGCGAGUUAAAUUUUAACUCAUGGUGACGUGGACGAAUCUCGGACGUCUAUUUUUCGAUUCAACGGUAGUUUCCAC
rnacentral:pre_miRNA from 1 species